rnacentral:tRNA from 1 species
GUCGAAGUGGUGUAACGGCAGCACAUCUUUCUCGCCAGAUCGAAGGUGCCGGUUCGAUUCCGGUCUUCGACUCCG